rnacentral:SRP_RNA from 1 species
AGCGGAAGCCGGCGCGGACGUUCUGGCCGCCAACCCGGUCAGGUUCGGAAGAAAGCAGCCGUAACGGUUUAAGGCGGGUCGCUGUCCGGUUUCCUUUUUU